rnacentral:rRNA from 1 species
UGGUGGGGUAACGGCCCACCAAGCCGAAGAUCCGUACGGGCCAUGAGAGUGGGAGCCCGGAGAUGGACCCUGAGACACGGGUCCAGGCCCUACGGGGCGCAGCAGGCGCGAAACCUCCGCAAUGCGGGAAACCGCGACGGGGUCAGCCGGAGUGCUCGCGCAUCGCGCGGGCUGUCGGGGUGCCUAAAAAGCACCCCAUAGCAAGGGCCGGGCAAGGCCGGUGGCAGCCGCCGCGGUAAUACCGGCGGCCCGAGUGGCGGCCACUUUUAUUGGGCCUAAAGCGUCCGUAGCCGGGCUGGUAAGUCCUCCGGGAAAUCUGGUCGCUUAACGAUCAGACUGCCGGAGGAUACUGCCAGCCUAGGGACCGGGAGAGGCCGGGGGUAUUCCCGGGGUAGGGGUGAAAUCCUGUAAUCCCGGGAGGACCACCUGUGGCGAAGGCGCCCGGCUGGAACGGGUCCGACGGUGAGGGACGAAGGCCAGGGGAGCGAACCGGAUUAGAU